CCCGUCGCAAGGCCUCUACCUGUACACAGGACAGCACGACACAGAAAUCCAUGGCUUGAGUGGGAUUUGAACCCACGGUCCCAGCAACCAAGCAGCACAAGGCCCACGCCUCAGACCGCGCGGCCACCGCGGACGCCCCAUAAAUUUUCUUUGGUGUUUGCUGAAAGCCGGCCGAUGUCAAGAUAGUUUCUUUCUGGCCUGGUAGGGGUGGCAGUGAACAUCUCCAUUUGAGUGACUUGAACCCAUAAUAUGACUAGUUACGUUGUAAUCUUUUGCAAUAUCUAUACCCUGAAAUAAAAAGAGUGUGUCUAAGUGGACAGUUUUAUAUUAAA